UACGUAGGGUGCGAGCGUUGUCCGGAAUUACUGGGCGUAAAGAGCUCGUAGGUGGUUUGUCACGUCGUCUGUGAAAUUCCGGGGCUUAACCUCGGGCGUGCAGGCGAUACGGGCAAUACUUGAGUGCUGUAGGGGAGACUGGAAUUCCUGGUGUAGCGGUGAAAUGCGCAGAUAUCAGGAGGAACACCGAUGGCGAAGGCAGGUCUCUGGGCAGUAACUGACGCUGAGGAGCGAAAGCAUGGGUAGCGAACAGGAUUAGA
rnacentral:rRNA from 1 species